GACGAACUGUGCAAACGUUAUUCGGAAUCACUGGGCUUGAAGAGUGCGUAGGCGGUUUCGUAAGUAGGGUGUGAAAGCCCCCAGCUCAACUGGGGAACUGCGUCCUAAACUGCGAGGCUGGAGUGAGGUAGGGGUGUGUGGAACUUCCGGUGGAGCGGUGAAAUGUGUUGAUAUCGGAAGGAACGCCGGUGGCGAAAGCGACACACUGGGCCUUGUCUGACGCUGAGGCACGAAAGCCAGGGAGCAAACGGG
rnacentral:rRNA from 1 species